rnacentral:rRNA from 1 species
GACGAACGCUGGCGGCGUGCUUAACACAUGCAAGUCGAACGGUAAGGCCCUUCGGGGUACACGAGUGGCGAACGGGUGAGUAACGCGUGAGUAACCUGCCCUUGACUCUGGGAUAACAGAUGGAAACGUCUGCUAAUACCGGAUACUCAGCCUUGUGGGCAUCCACAGGGUUGGAAAGCUCCGGCGGUCAAGGAUGGACUCGCGUCCUAUCAGCUAGUUGGUGGGGUAAUGGCCUACCGAGGCGACGACGGGUAGCCGGCCUGAGAGGGCGACCGGACCCAUUGGGACUGAGAUACGGCCCAGACUCCUACAGGAGGGAGCAGUGGGGAAUAUUGCACAAUGGGCGCAAGCCUGAUGCAGCAACGCCGCGUGCGGGAUGACGGCCUUCGGGUUGUAAACCGCUUUCAGCAGGGACGAAGCGCAAGUGACGGUACCUGCAGAAGAAGCACCGGCUAACUACGUGCCAGCCGCCGCGGUAACAC